GAAGAAAGCCAAGAGGGAGAGAUGAGGAGGGAGCGAGUUCCAGUACAGUGCCUGGCACAUAGUAGGCAUUUGAUAAAUGUACGGUGACUUGACUUGUCUCAGGCCUGGACCCAUCAUUUGUACCUGCACCCGUGCUUCUGAGGACUGGACAGACUGGAAGAAGCCAUGCCUAGGGAACCACGGGACCUGGCUUCUAGUCUUGACUCUACUACUACCCAGAUGCUCAAGUGACUCUGAGCAAAUUACUUCCUCUUUCUGACAGAAUUUUCAUGGCAGUUAUUUGAAAUUCAGAAUGCACUUGGAAUGAUAAUUUGGGAAGGGAAAGAUCUUGUAAAAACCGCUCGCCAGCUCCAUAAUUCUGAUGAGCAGAGCCGAUGGACAAG